rnacentral:rRNA from 1 species
CCUACGGGAGGCAGCAGUGGGGAAUUUUGGACAAUGGGCGCAAGCCUGAUCCAGCCAUGCCGCGUGCGGGAAGAAGGCCUUCGGGUUGUAAACCGCUUUUGUCAGGGAAGAAAAGGUUCUGGUUAAUACCUGGGACUCAUGACGGUACCUGAAGAAUAAGCACCGGCUAACUACGUGCCAGCAGCCGCGGUAAUACGUAGGGUGCAAGCGUUAAUCGGAAUUACUGGGCGUAAAGCGUGCGCAGGCGGUUAUGCAAGACAGAUGUGAAAUCCCCGGGCUCAACCUGGGAACUGCAUUUGUGACUGCAUAGCUAGAGUACGGUAGAGGGGGAUGGAAUUCCGCGUGUAGCAGUGAAAUGCGUAGAUAUGCGGAGGAACACCGAUGGCGAAGGCAAUCCCCUGGACCUGUACUGACGCUCAUGCACGAAAGCGUGGGGAGCAAACAGGAUUAGAUACCCUGGUAGUCCACGCCCUAAACGAUGUCAACUGGUUGUUGGGAGGGUUUCUUCUCAGUAACGUAGUUAACGCGUGAGUUGACCGCCUGGGGAGUCGGCCGCGAAAGGUUGAAACUUAAAGUAGUUAGUUCGGUAGNGNGNGNGCGACGACGACGACGACGGAGGAGGAG